AUUGAACGCUGGCGGCAUGCUUUACACAUGCAAGUCGAACGGUAACAGGUUAAGCUGACGAGUGGCGAACGGGUGAGUAAUGCAUCGGAACGUGCCCGAUCGUGGGGGAUACCGCAGCGAAAGCUGCGCUAAUACCGCAUACGAGCUGAGGAUGAAAGCGGGGGACCGUAAGGCCUCGCGCGAUCGGAGCGGCCGAUGUCAGAUUAGGUAGUUGGUGGGGUAAAGGCUCACCAAGCCAACGAUCUGUAGCUGGUCUGAGAGGACGACCAGCCACACUGGGACUGAGACACGGCCCAGACUCCUACGGGAGGCAGCAGUGGGGAAUUUUGGACAAUGGGCGAAAGCCUGAUCCAGCAAUGCCGCGUGCAGGAAGAAGGCCUUCGGGUUGUAAACUGCUUUUGUACGGAGCGAAAAGGCUCUCUCUAAUACAGGGGGCUCAUGACGGUACCGUAAGAAUAAGCACCGGCUAACUACGUGCCAGCAGCCGCCGCCG
rnacentral:rRNA from 1 species